rnacentral:tRNA from 2 species
GCCCGGUUAGCUCAGUUGGUAGAGCACCUCCAUGGUAAGGAGGGGGUCUACGGUUCAAGUCCGUAACCGGGCUCCA